AAGCGAAACCGCCGCGAGGCGGUCUACCGGGCAUGGUGGCCCGGUACUGAUGAGCAGCCAAGG
rnacentral:hammerhead_ribozyme from 1 species